rnacentral:rRNA from 1 species
UACAGAGGAUGCAAGCGUUGUUCGGAAUUAUUGGGCGUAAAGGGAGUGUAGGCGGUUUGAAAAGUCUUCUGUGAAAUCUACGGGCUUAGCCUGUAAAGUGCAGAGGAUACUAUCAGGCUUGAGUAUCGGAGAGGAUAGGGGAAUACCCAGUGUAGAGGUGAAAUUCGUAGAGAUUGGGUGGAACACCAGUGGCGAAGGCGCCUAUCUGGCCGAUAACUGACGCUGAGACUCGAAAGCAUGGGGAGCAAACAGG